rnacentral:tRNA from 1 species
GGGUGGUUCAAGCCUUAAGACCCCGUCCCGAAGGGGUCCGCGGGUUCAAAUCCCGCCCCCCGCA